rnacentral:rRNA from 1 species
AACGAACGCUGGCGGCAGGCCUAACACAUGCAAGUCGAGCGCCCCGCAAGGGGAGCGGCGGACGGGUGAGUAACGCGUGGGGACGUGCCCUUUGCUACGGAAUAGCCCCGGGAAACUGGGAGUAAUACCGUAUAAGCCCUACGGGGGAAAGAUUUAUCGGCAAAGGAUCGGCCCGCGUUGGAUUAGGUAGUUGGUGGGGUAAUGGCCUACCAAGCCGACGAUCCAUAGCUGGUUUGAGAGGAUGAUCAGCCACACUGGGACUGAGACACGGCCCAGACUCCUACGGGAGGCAGCAGUGGGGAAUCUUAGACAAUGGGCGCAAGCCUGAUCUAGCCAUGCCGCGUGAGCGAUGAAGGCCUUAGGGUUGUAAAGCUCUUUCGUGGGGGAAGAUAAUGACUGUACCCCAAGAAGAAGCCCCGGCUAACUCCGUGCCAGCAGCCGCCGUAA